rnacentral:lncRNA from 1 species
GCCGCAGAGGGUGCAGGUGCAAUGCAGAGCCAUGCAAAACACCCCGGCCCCAGCGGGUCAUCCCGCUGGUGGGGAUGAGAUGCUCGGUGCACCCCAUGCACGGGCUCGUGGGGGCCCGCCGAGCUGCAGCGCUGCACGGCGCUGCCGCCCCGCGAGGUGCAGGAAAGCCUGGGCCGGGAGGGAGCAGACCCCGUGGCAAAGGAGGAGCCCAUGCGGACAGGGAGCCUGCGGCAGGGCGAGGACCCCGCUCCCAUGGAGAGGCAUGGCUCCAAACCGGAGCCAAACCCACGCCGGGAGAGCAAGCAACUCCGCGGCCUUCUUGCCGAUCUUUUCUGCCAUUCGGAGGAGCAGAACGGAGGCGAAAGCAAUGCAACGCCCUGGCCGGCCCGGGAGAGCUCUUGUUUGCGUAGGGUUUUCCUGGUUGUGCCGAGUCCUGGCUCCCCCUUCAAAGCCUCUGCUUCAAAGCCGCCCCGGUCCACACGCUAGCUGGACACGCGCUGCGAGGAGCGGCCGAGGCUCCCUGGGGAUCGCUGCCCCGCGGGCUGCGCGCUCCAGAGGCACCGGCUGGUGGGGCCCCCAGGCUCCCAGUCCCUGCAAAGCCCCCGCGGGACCCUCGGCCAAGGGCAGCUUCGGUCUGGGGGCUGGGGGAGGAAGGAGCUGGCCCGUGAGGCACUUGGCACGGUCCAGCGCUCCUGGACGAGCCAGGAACAUGUUUGCUGGCGAGACACAGCCCGGAAACGCAGGGGAACGACCUGCAAAGAGCCYCAGCUUCCUCCCAAGCCAGCGCCGCGUCGGGGCAGCCAGGGAAAGGGGCUCCCUCCCGGCCUCUCCGUCCCUCCCGCCCAGCCCCGCGCUGGGCUGGGGGAUGUGCUGUGUCCGUGGGGUGUCCGUGCACAGGGCAGGGAUGGAGGAUUUGCUGCCCGGGAGGGGUCACACCGUGCUUCCCGGUGCAGCCUGCCAGCCCUGCUCCUCGCCGCUCCUCCCGGGCCCCAAAUGCACUGCAUGGGCCCAUCUGUAGUGGCAUCAGGCCUGCUGCC